GAGAGAGAGAGAGAGAAUGAGAGAAUCUUAAGCAAGCUGUACGCUCAGCAUGGAACCCCCACGUGGGGCUCGAUCCCACAACUCUGGGAUCAUGACUUGAGCUGAAAUCAAGAGUCGGACGCCCAACUGACUGAGCCACCCAGGCACUUCUGAAAAGCAACCCAUUUUUUAAAAACUGCUUUGUUGAGCUAUAAUUCACAUGUAAUACAAAUGUACAAUGUAAAAUCCAUUUGAAGUGUACAAUUCAGUGUUUCUUAGUAGUCUUACAGGCUUCUGUAACCAUUGUCACAAUCUGAUUUUAGAACAUUUUCAUCCCCUCUAAAAGAAACCAAACCUCCCGUCCCUUCCAGCCCCUCCCCCCAGCACUAGGCAACCACAAAUCUACUUCCUGCCUCUGUAGAUUUGUGUGUGGUCGCUUGUGACUGGCUUCUUUCACUUAGCAUAAUGUUUUCAAGGUUCAUCUAUGUUGCAGCACGUGGCAUCGCUUCCUUCCUGUUGAUUGUUGAGUAAUAUUCUGUUGUAUGGACGGACCAUGGUGUCUUUGUGCAUUCAUCAAUUGAUGUCUAUUUGGGUUGUUUAGACUUUUUGGUUAUUAUGAAUAAUGCUGUGUGGACAUAUGUUUUCAUUUCUCUUGGGUGUAUCCGAGGAGCGAAAUCUUUGGGUCCUAUGGUAACUCUCUGUCUAACACGCCAAGGGCUUGCCAGACAUGUUUCCAAAGCAGUUGUAUCCCUUUGCUUAUCAGCACGGAUGUAUCAGGUCUCUGGUUUCACUACGUCCUUGCUCAUGCUUCCUAACGUCUUAGGGAUUUACAGCUGUCCUACUGGAGGGCAGUGGUAUUUCACUGUGGUUUUCAUUCUCAUUUCCCUCAUGGCUAAUGAUGUUGAGCCUCUUUUCAUGUGCUUAUUGGCCACAUUCAUCUCUCUCUCUCUCUCUUUUUUUUUUUUUUUUUUUUACAGAAUUACUCAUUUUUGAGAGAGAGAAAGAAAACACAAGUGGAGGGGGGCAGAGAGAGGAAGGUAGAGAAAGAAUCCCAAGCAGACUCUACACUGUCAGCCCAGAGCCCGAUGCGUGGCUUGAACUCAGGAACCGUGAGAUCAUGACCUGAGCCGAAGUCAGACACUUAACCAACUGAGCCACCCGGGUGCCCCUGAAUCUUUUUUUGAAGAAGUGUGUCUUUUUUUGGAGCAUUAUAUUUUGUCCAUUUUUAAAUUGGGUUAUUUGUCUUUACUAUUGAGUUGUAAAAAUUCUUGCAGAUAGAAGACCCUCAUGAGAGAUGUAAUUUGCAAAUCUCAUCUCCCAUUUGGUGGGUUUCUCUCCCUUUCUUGAUAGCAUUGUUUGCAGCAUUAACAUUUUCAGUUUUGACCUAGUCUGCCAGUUUAUCUAUUUUUUUUUUUUUGUGGUUGUUGCUUCUGUCUUUGAUGUCAUAUAAUUACCUAAACCAAGAUCACAAAGCUUUUAGAGAAUUUGUAAAGACGUUAUUUUACUCUACAGCUAGUACUGCUGGGUUUUUUAUUUGUUCAUUUUAAAUUGUAAACCCUUCUGGGACAAUACAUAUAGCGCACAUUCAUUUUAAUAGCUGCGUAAUAUUCCGUGGUAUAAAUAUGCCUUAAUGUAUUCAACCAUUAUCUGCUGAUGGGCAAAAAGUCUUAUUUCCAGUUUUUUUGGGUUUGCCCCAAACAAGACUGCAAAAGUCCUUGUACAUUUAUUAUUUUGUUUCUGAUACCUUUGUUCCUGCAGAAUACAUUGCCUAGGAUGGAAUGGGCAGCUUCCUUCAAAAUCUAAGUAGCUGAGAUUUGUUCUGUAUUGGAAUGUGGAUACUCUCGUCAGCCGAUUAGGAAAAAAAAAAUUAUGAAUCUACUCAGAGAGAAUAGUGUACUGAACCCCCAUGAACCUCUGACUCAUCUUCAACGUUUAUCAUCUCGGAGCCGAUUCUGUCUCAUUGUUCUGCUCAGCCCAUAUGGCAGCCAGAGUCACCUGCGGCUGCUCCUAGUUGAGGUGUGAACCACAUCCUCCCCAAGGGUUUGCAAGUUCUCUCCCUCCCGGGAGCUCUUAAUUCUUCCCUGACCCUCAUGGGUAAGCACAAAACUUCCCCCUUCCCCACUCCUCAACCUCCUCUCCAUAAGCUUGUUUGUUUCCUUUGUAACACUUGCACGACUUGUAGUUAUUUAAUUAUUUGACUUGCCUGGUAGGUUUCAGUCUGACUCCCUAAGGUAACAUAACCUCCAGGAGGACCCUGGGAGGGGGGCAAUCAGUGACUCCCCCCUGGUGAUUCUGAGGUGAUUCCCCUGUGAGCACACACACCGUGGCAGGAAUGCUCAACCCAGGUGGACCUAACCCCUCUCUCACAAAGCGUGUAUGUUGUAAUCACCUUUACUAUCUUGACGUGAAACUCAGAGAUUAUAGAAAUUAUCUAUACACAUAAUUUUAAGAAAUGAAUGUAAUGGCCUAACUAUAACAUCAAAGAAAGUAUAAGGAAUUUGUAAUAAAAUAACGUGUUUUUGCCCCCCCCCUUGCCUGUUUCUAGUAUUGGCAGUGUGGUUUGUAUUAAACUAGCCCUUUCUGCUAGACAGUCUUAAACUCUGGUUUAUGUCUUUAUAACACAUACGAACAGUAGUAACGGUCCUGAACUGCUUGGUCCCUCGGUCACUUUCAGGUCUCUGCUAAAGAAUUACCAGAGUCUGGCUCGAGUCCCUUACACAACAGCAGCCCCUCCCCCCCCACCCCCCCCCAAGCAGCACUUACCAUCCCUCUUAACUCAGCCUUUCCCCCCCGCAUAGCACUGGGUACCACCUGACAUUCUCUGUAUUUUUUUCAUUGCCUAUUUCCUCCCACUAAGAAGCUCCACGAAGGCAAGGGAAUUUUCUCUUGAAAACCCUCAGCACCUACCACAGUGUGUGGAAUGCAGCAGGCAUUCGGGAGAGGUUCUGAAGCAAAUGAAUCCUUCGUGCUCUCUCUUGUGCUAUGAUCCUUCAGCAAGAAGGGCUUAUGAGUAGCUGGAUUUUGAGCGACUCUCCAAAAUGGCUCCCUCAUCAGCGCAUCCUUGAGACGAGGCAUUCCCUCUAGUCUUUUACCCUUGUUCUGCCAUAUUGGACAGUUGCUUGUAGAGGGAGGUGGUGUACCAGGUGAAGAGUCAUCACCUGUAACGUACUUGCUCGUGUCACAUUCAGAUUUUUAGGGUACCCCUCUUGAUCCGAGAUGGCGAGCUGAGAGGUGAUCAGGUUGUCAGGUAGGUUCUGACUCAGGAGGGACAAGGACUUGACGUCUUGGGUGGUCACAUUGCUGGUCGGCAUCAAGACAUCAGUAAUGGAAAGUUCUGUCGGUCCCAGUUCCUAAAAUAAGGGAUGCAGUCUUUAUUUGCCAUUUAGGGGAACUUGGUAGACUUUUAUGAAGUAGAAGGAACUUUGCGAAAUGAAAGCACAUGUUAUCUGGGAAUAAUAUUAUGGGAUAAUAACUUUUGAAAACAUCUUCUACAUUGAACGUUAAGAGGAGACCUAAAGAGGAGAGGCAUGAGGAGGAGGAGACGAAUUGCCAGCUCCCAUUCUAGAACAUGGAGGUGGUGUUGGGGGAGGGGGGGGUGGCUGUGAGAUGGCAAUAGUUCCUUUGCCUGUGAAUGGUACCUGGGAGAUACUGACCAGCAUCCCAAAGUAUUUAAGUGAUAGAUCAUGUACAUUGGGUUCUGUUACUUUACCAAAGUGUAAACCCGUUUCCUUUUUUCCAAGUCAGGAAAUAUAAAAGAAAUAGCGUGAGAGGAUGGUGACCGAGGUUUAAUGAGGCUUGAACGUUUCCUGGCCUUGUUUCUCUCCUCCGAACACUCUGUGGAGUGGACAUGACAGCCAGCUUGGGGACUGGUAGUUCCUGUGUCAUAAGAAAUGUGUCACACUGAUCAUUUAAGGGAACCAUCUUGCUUGUUAAGGAGAUUCUUUUCCUUACUUACAAUGCCUUGUGUACUGGCCUUUCUUAUUUGCUGUUUUUUCUCAACAGUGCUGUAAGAGUUAAAGCAAAGGUAAUAAUACUACCUCGUAAUGGUGGCUGUAAUAGAAGAUUCCCAUUUGCUUGCUACUUUCUCCACUGUUGUGUUAAUACAAACAUUGUUUUCCCAUAAUCAAUAUACCAAUCAAUACUGUAUGAACAAUAAGCAAUGUAAAUGGUAAGAAUGAAGGACCAGAAAGAUGUCACAUAACCAAUGAUGACCGCCCUGAGCUCUGUUCUCUGAAGGCAAUUAAUUAAGUUCUCUUUGAUUAAUGGUUACCUUAGCUACCUUCUACCUGCCUAUGAAAAGUAUAGUUGGUAACGUCUUAAUAAGACGACACUGGUUGGGAAUGCAAGCUGGUGCAGCCACUCUGGAAAACAGUAUGGAGGUUCCUCAAAAAACUAAAAAGAGAACUACCCUAUGACCCAGCAAUUGCACUACUAGGCAUUUAUCCACGGGAUACAGGUGUGCUGUUUCGAAGGGACACAUGCACCCCCAUGUUUAUAGCAGCACUAUGAACAAUAGCCAAAGUAUGGAAAGAAUGGAUGGAUGGAUGGAUGGAUGGAUGGAU